AAGUCGUAACAAGGUCUCCGUAGGUGAACCUGCGGAGGGAUCAUUACAGAGUUCAUGCCCUAACGGGUAGAUCUCCCAGCCCUAUGUUAUCAUUAACCAUGUUGCUUUGGCGGGCCGUCAGGCCACGCCUCGGACUACCGGCUCCGGCUGGUCAAGCGCCCGCCAGAGGACCUCAAACCCUGAAUAUUCGUGUCGUCUGAGUGACCAUAUAAUAGCUUAAAAA
rnacentral:misc_RNA from 1 species